rnacentral:lncRNA from 1 species
GAGUCUAGAUUGACGUAUGUCCGUCCAGGAAAUAAAUAAGCAUGCUGUUCUCCCUCCUAUCAUUAGUGGAAGUGACAAGGAAUUUUUGGAAAGAAUGCAAAGAUACAUAAUUACAGAAACUGAAAGAGUGUGCUGUAAUGAGGAAGGACCUGCUGAUGAAUAUUACAUCAUAUACCGAAAUGUUUUUGAUAAGGUAAUAGAAUAUGUCACUGCAUACAAAUCCAUUCUUACUUCAAUCAAGAAAGAAUAUGACACAUUUAUUGAGACAAUAAAGAAAGGCCAAAGAACUGCAUUUUAUCUUCAUGGAAAACUUAAAGUUUUGGCAGGAGAGCCCACAGCGUUGGUAUACCACAGGAAAAGAAUAGCCCAACUUCAAGCAAAGAUGGGACUUAUUGAAAAUAAUUCCUCAAAGAUUCAGUUGCAGAUAAAUGAAAUGAAACAAGUCAGGGCAAAGUAUGACACAAAAGAAGAACAAUAUUGUACUUUCUGCAAAGAUCCUUUAAAACCUAUUCCAGGCAUGACUCUCAAAGAAUCUGUCAGUUUAGAUGCUCUCACUAAAUAUUUGAAACAUCUUGAAGAUAAAUACGCAGAAAUUGAAGAACUUAUGUCCAAAAAAUAUGUACCUAUUCAGAGGAAGGCAGAUUUAGAUGAGGAAAUGACUGUGGUAUUAGAACGGCGAGAUUCAACUGAAAAUCUGAACAAUGAAUUACAGUUUAGUCAUCAAAGACUGCAGGUUAUUUCACAAGCACUUACUUUGUGGGUAAAAUCUGAUAUGAGCAGAUCAUUUCAAGACAUCGUGAAGAACAUCCAGAAAAGUAAAGAUUUAUACGAUAAACAAGGCAUUAUUGAAGAGCUACUUGAAGAAGACCCAAGCAAGGCGAAAGAAGCUGAAAUUUUGCUGUACUUCAUUGAAAGGUUCAAUGAAUUAAUCUCACUUGGGGAAUAUGAAAAGGCAGUUUAUUUUGCAGUGAAUGGUCCUAGAAGAAUUCUUCAAAAUAUUGGGACAGUGAACAAAUUUAAGGCUAUUGGAAAAAUUAGAGGAAAACCUUCCCCAUUACUCUUAUUUUUUGAGGCUGUCUUUAGCAUAAGUCAUGCUUUUAGACAUCCUGUUGAUGCAGUGCUAACUCUGGAAGGAAUCAAGUGUGGAUUGUCUGAAAAACGUUUAGAUUUAGUCAUCAACUGGGUCACCCAAGAAAGGCUGACAUUUUCUGAGGAGGCUGGGGAUGUGAUUUUUGAUUAUGGGGAGCAGAAUACUUAUAACAAGGCCAAAUGUCUGGCUUUAGCUCAGAUUAUCUACAGUGAAUGUGGCUUGCACAAGAAGGCUCUUCUUUGCCUGUGUAAACAGGGUCAGAUUCAUGGGGCCAUGGAAUACAUACAACAAUUCAAGGAUUUUACUUCUGAUGACCUGAUGCAGUUAAUAAAGUUAUGUCCCAACACUGAAUUGAUUCAGUGUCUCACUAAAGAGUGGAAUGGGAAACCACCAUAUUUAUCUUUUGGUCUUGCUGUACUUCACCUGUUCUCUGUAGACAUGAAAAAAGUUGGGAUUAAGCUACUUCAAGGAAUAAGUAAAGGUGGGAAAGAUGCAGUUGAACAUCUUAUGAUAACUGAUCCAUUUUGCUCCCUAGAAAAGUGGCAAGAAGUAGCAAAUAUAUGUUUACAGAAUGGCUUUGACCAAUUAUCUAAUGACAUCAUGUCUGUUCUUCGAUCUCAAGCUGGGGUUACAGAAAUUUCUGAAGAGGAUGAUACAGUCAACUUAAUGCAGCAUGUUUUUUGGUAG